GUCGAGCGGCAGCGGGGAGUAGCUUGCUACUCUGCCGGCGAGCGGCGGACGGGUGAGUAAAGUCUGGGGAUCUGGCUUAUGGAGGGGGAUAACCAUUGGAAACGGUGGCUAAUACCGCAUGAUGUCGCAAGACCAAAGUGGGGGACUUUAGGGCCUCACGCCAUAAGAUGAACCCAGAUGAGAUUAGCUAGUAGGUGCGGUAAUGGCGUACCUAGGCGACGAUCUCUAGCUGGUCUGAGAGGAUGACCAGCCACACUGGAACUGAGAGACGGUCCAGACUCCUACGGGAGGCAGCAGUGGGGAAUAUUGCACAAUGGGCGGAAGCCUGAUGCAGCCAUGCCGCGUGUGUGAAGAAGGCCUUAGGGUUGUAAAGCACUUUCAGCGGGGAGGAAGGCGGUAAGAGUAAUAUGCUUAUCGAUUGACGUUACCCGCAAAAGAAGCACCGGCUAACUCCGUGCCAGCAGCCGCGGUAAUACGGAGGGUGCGAGCGUUAAUCGGAAUAACUGGGCGUAAAGGGCAUGUAGGCGGUAAGUUAAGUCAGAUGUGAAAUCCCCGAGCUUAACUUGGGAACGGCAUUUGAGACUGGCUGGCUAGAGUUUUGUAGAGGGGGGUAGAAUUCCAGGUGUAGCGGUGAAAUGCGUAGAGAUCUGGAGGAAUACCGGUNGCGAAGGCGGCCCCCUGGACAAGGACUGACGCUGAGGUGCGAAAGCGUGGGUAGCAAACAGGAUUAGAUACCCUGGUAGUCCACGCUGUAAACGAUGUCGAUUUGGAGGUUGUGGCCUAGUGUUAUGGCGUCCGAAGCUAACGCGAUAAAUCGACCGCCUGGGGAGUACGGCCGCAGGUUAAAACUCAAAUGAAUUGACNGGGGCCCGCACAAGCGGUGGAGCAUGUGGUUUAAUUCGAUGCAACGCGAAGAACCUUACCUACUCUNGACAUCCANNGAAUUGAGCAGAGAUGCUUAAGUGCCUUCGG
rnacentral:rRNA from 1 species